rnacentral:misc_RNA from 1 species
GAUGAAGAACGUAGCGAAAUACGAUAAGUAAUGUGAAUUGCAGAAUUCAGUGAAUCAUCGAAUCUUUGAACGCACAUUGCGCCCGGCAGUACUCUGCCGGGCAUGCCUGUUCGAGCGUCAUUUCAACCCUCAAGCCCUGCUUGGUGUUGGGGUCCCACGGCCGCCGUGGGCCCUGAAAGGAAGUGGCGGGCUCGCUACAACUCCGAGCGUAGUAAUUCAUUAUCUCGCUUAGGGCGUUGGGCGGCGCUCCUGCCGUUAAAGAACCAUCUUUAACUCAAGGUUGACCUCGGAUCAGGUAGGAAUACCCGCUGAACUUAAGCAUAUCAAUAAGCGGAGGA